CUGCAUGCGGGUCGAAAGGGGGCUGAGGAGAGGGGGUUGGGUAGAGACCCUCGGAAGAAGGAAAAUGACUUGGACCGGGAGGAUCGCCGGGGAGUGGGAGCACACCCAACACACACAAGGAAUUUCUAAAAAAGAAGGAAGUAAGGUUGUUGUAACACUGAACUCCAGUUCUGAGUAAUAUAUAUAGAAAGAGGGCCCAUUUUACAAAAUAAAGAAAGCGUUGAACCUUGUUAUUUGUAAAUAAAAAACAAUAAAUCCUGACCGAUAGAUGAAAAGGAAAAAA
rnacentral:misc_RNA from 1 species